UUCCAAUGUUUUCACACCAGCGGUAUUUGCAAAUGUCAUAAACCAGUAAUUGCUCUCGAAAAAAGUAGUUCCAACACCGAAUUCCUAAAAUGCAAACAAAAAGUUUCAGCCCUGGCUGAUGUGGAUUGAGCACAGGCUGCGAACCAAAG